rnacentral:lncRNA from 1 species
UGUAGGGUGCCAGCAACCAAAUGAACAGAUUAUGACAUGAAUUAGUUUCUUGGUACAUAGCAGCUGAUAACUUGCAAGCGCACAUGGUUCAGUUGUUGCCUUUUCAAAGUAAGAGUAUCGAUUCAAGAGGAAGCACAUGAAUCAAAUUUUUGCCUCUUGUAGAGAAUUACAUAUUCGAAAUUGCUUCACGUAUGAUGUUUUACGUCCGAUAACUGUACGACACUUCCGUUAUUUCAGCCCCGUCGUGACCCAUGGUCCAGCCCAAACCCAAAACCCUUUAUUUGCCCUAGCCCCACUAGAACUUAUCCACGUUUCCACCUCUUCCAUCUGUAACUUUCCAUGCCUCUUGCUAUUCCCUCCAAAGCGCGACGGCUCAUCUUCAGUCCGAUCUCUUCCUUGCUGAUCUGCAAUUUCAUCUCCUUCACAUGUGAUCUGCAACACCACAAAGAAGAUUAUUUAGUGGGACAAAACAAUCAGGUCCAGCCAAUAUUUUGAGGUGAGUUUUUUUACAUUGUCGGGAUCAAAUCUGUUUCAUACCAUCUUCUUCAUGAGUUCUUCAUGCUGAUCUACAAAUCCGUCUCUUCAAGUGAAAUCUGCACCACUACAGAGAGCGCAAACAAACAAAUCUGCACCACACCGAGAGGGAAAAUAAUCAGGAGUUGCCAACAAUCAAAGGUGUGUAUCUUUAGCCUUUUUUGGAUCAUAAUUGUUCUAGAUUAUUUCAGUUUAUCCGGGUGUAUGCUCAAUGAUAUGUUCUUAUUGUUGGCAAUUUACAGAGGUGAUGGCGUCAAAUUUAACUUCUGAUGAAGUGGCAGAACAGAACAUGGUAUUUCAAGAGGAUGAUGAUGUUUUCAUUGCUGAGGAGAUUGGGGAUUCUUUGGGUGACCAAGAAGUAGAACAAGUCAUGACGUUGGAACCUAAGAAGGGUCUCAUGUUUGAUAGUGAGGAUGAUGUUGUUAGGUUCUACAAAGGUUAUGCAAAAAAGAAGGGCUUUGGUGUAGUAAGAAGAACUGCUAGAUAUGAUGAAGACAACAAACUUCAUUAUUUCACCCUUGCUUGUAGUAGACAAGGGAAGGCUCAAUACUCAUCAAAGAACUCAUUUAAACCUAAUCCAUCGACAAGGAUGCAAUGUCCCGCUAAGAGUAAUUUUUGUCGCCGUGGAGAUAAGUUUUGCAUUACCUCUAUUACAGUUGAUCACAAUCAUCCAAUAAGUCCAAGCAAAGCCAGAUUUCUGAGGUGUCAUAAGAAACUUGACUUGCAUGCAAAAAGGACCCUAGAAUUGAAUGAUCAAGCAGGGAUCCGAAUAAAUAAGAAUUUUGGUUCUCUUGUUAUGCAAGCUGGUGGCUAUGAUAAGCUUGAGUAUGGUGAAAAGGAGUGCACGAACUAUUUGCAAGACACAAGAAGGCUGCAGCUUGGUGUCGGAGAUGCACAUGUUGUUUAUCAAUACUUCCUCCGUAUGCAGUCAAAGGAUCCAGACUUUUUUCAUGUUAUGGAUGUGGCGGAGGAUGGACGACUGAGAAAUGUAUUUUGGGCAGAUGCAAGGAGUAGAGCUACAUAUGAAUCUUUCUCGGAUGUCAUCACAUUUGACACCACAUACUUGACAAACAAGUAUAAAAUGCCGUUUGCUCCUUUUGUUGGCGUAAAUCAUCAUGGUGAAUCAGUUUUGUUAGGUUGUGGUCUUUUGUCUAAUGAAGAUGCCGACACUUUUGUCUGGUUAUUUAAAUCAUGGCUAUGUUGUAUGUCAAACAACCCACCAAAUGCUAUAAUCACUGACCAGUGUAAAGCAAUGCAGAAUGCUAUUGAAGAAGUUUUCCCUAUGGCUCGUCAUAGAUGGUGUAUAUGGCAUAUCAUGAAGAAGAUUCCUAAAAAGCUUAGUGGGUAUGAAAAGUAUGACAACAUCAAGUAUACACUGUCAAAUGUGGUUUAUAAUUCCUUGACCAAACAUGAUUUUGAUGAAGCUUGGCUACAUAUGAUCGAGAAAUAUGAUCUCCAGGACAAUGAAUGGCUUGGUGGAUUAUAUGAUGAUAAAAAUCUGUGGGUACCAGCAUAUGUGAAAGAUACUUUUUGGGCAGGUAUGUCUUCAACACAAAGAAGUGAGAGUGUGAAUGCUUUGUUUGAUGGCUAUGUCCAUGCUAGAACAACUCUGAAGCAAUUUGCAAGGCAAUAUGACAAUGCAUUACGAGACAAGGUAGAGAAAGAAAACAAGGCUGAUUCUAAGUCAUUCCAAGAGGUAAUUCCAUGCAUUACUCACUAUGACUUCGAGAGGCAAUUCCAGGCCGCCUAUACCAAUGCAAAAUUUCAAGAGUUUCAAGAGCAAUUGAGAGGUAAAAUAUAUUGCUAUCCAACUUUGUUGUACAAUGAAGAUUCACUUUUUACAUAUAAAGUCAGAGAAGACCGCAAGAUUUUUUAUGAAGGAGAAGAUGGAGAUAUUAAAGAGAAAAGGGUCAUUUCAGAGUUCACUAUCUUAUUCAACCAAGGAGAAUGUGAUGUGAAGUGUGUUUGUCGAUUAUUUGAAUUUCGGGUAUCUUGUGUAGCCACAUCCUUUCCGUGCUUGCUCUGAUGGAGAUUAUAGAAGUACCUUCUAAGUAUAUAUUGCAGCGAUGGAGGAAGGAUUUUAAGCGUAAACACACCUUUAUUAAAUGCUCGUAUGAUGAUAUGUUGAACACACCAGUUGUGCAACGUUAUGAUAAUCUGUGCAAGCGUUCCCGUGAACUGGCAGAAAAUGGGGCCGAGUUUGAUGCAUUGCAUGAUUUGGUGAUAGAUGGCUUAAAUGAGUUACAAAUUAAGAUUGAUAUGUAUCGUACUACCCAGAAAAUUACGGAGGGGGGGCCUAUUGCAAAACAUGAAGAUUCAGUGUUAAACAAAGAAAAAGUUGUACUCGACCCAAUCCCUGUUCGGAGUGUAGGUCGUCCUCCCUCAAAAAGAAAGGUAUCUAAAGUUGAUCAAGUGGUCAAACGAUUAAGAGCAAAGAAGCAGCAGGUACCAAAAGGUACAAAUGGAGUGUCAAGUCAAAAAGGGAGAAAGGUAUCUAAAUCUAGAAUAUUUUUGUAGGAGCUUCUUUCUUCCUCUUAUAACUUGCUGAAGUGUGAGUACUACCUUAUUGCAGAAAGGUAGCAGAAAAUCAAAAGGUGGGCGGGAAAGUAAUCCUCUGUCAUCACAACAAAACGAGGUAAUAUUUCGUACAAUUAUAGUUAAUAUGUUAUACUAGAUUAUUAAUAUACGUGACAAGCAAGAUUACUACUUGUUCUUAUUCCAGGAACUUGAAACAAGUGAACCUACUACAUCAAUUCAUAUCAAGUCGUACAUUGACAUUCUCCAGGUGCUACACUCGUAUUAUCAAAUAUUUUCCAACAUUAUUUGUCAAUAGCUCAUUGUGUUUUUGAACUUUGAAGGGAAAUAAAGAUGUCAUGGAUCUGCUAGAUGCUAAUUCGAACGGAUGAAAGAGACGCACUCUGUAGUACUUCCGAGCCGAUUGGACAGUUUGGCUUAUGGCACUAGAUGCAUAUUUAUUUUGGUUAUUGUAACAAUGGCAUUAUCAUUCAACGCUCUAUGUCACUAUGUUCUGUAGUUCAGAUUCUUAUGCUUUUAGACAGUAAAUUUGCUCUGGUCAAGAUAAAUAUGCUUUUAGACAGUAAAUUUGAUACAAGAGCUUCCAGCAAUCUGUUACUCACCUCUGCCAUUGGAUGUUGCAUCCGGCCACCAUCGCAACUAUGCUGAGCCAGCAAGCUGCCUCCCGCGACGUUGCUCCGAGCAUCCGGGCGGCUGGCGCCCCACCCUCUCUCCUUGUGCCUCUCCUCCUCCUUCCAGAUUUGAGCCAGAAGAAGUAGCGUCCAGGCACUCUGCCAUUGGAGGUUGCAUCCAGCCACCAUCCCAACUAUGCCGAGCGAGCAAGCUGCCUCCCGCGGCGUUGCUUCGAGCAGCCAGGCGGCUGGCGCCACACCCUCUCUCCUUGUGCCUCUCCUCCUCCCAGAUUUGAGCCAGAAGAAGCAGCGUCCAGGCAACUGGCAAAGUAGCAACAAGAAUAGCCGGAAGAAGCUAGAACACUCG